rnacentral:rRNA from 1 species
UACAGAGGGUGCAAGCGUUAAUCGGAAUUACUGGGCGUAAAGGGCGCGUAGGCGGACAGUUAAGUCAGAGGUGAAAGCCCAGGGCUCAACCCUGGAAUAGCCUUUGAUACUGGCUGUCUUGAGUGCGGGAGAGGUGUGUGGAACUCCGAGUGUAGAGGUGAAAUUCGUAGAUAUUCGGAAGAACACCAGUGGCGAAGGCGACACACUGGCCCGUAACUGACGCUGAGGCGCGAAAGCG